UAAGCCAGACUUCCCCCAAUUCUGAGGUCCUUUUCGUGAAUUCUCCCCCGUUUUCUCGCCGCGGUUUCUUCCCCAGGUAACUCCCAUUUCGACGCUUUUUUCUGAAUCCCCCCUUUUUUGUUCUAAGUUUUCUCUAAUUCGUGGUUUUUUUGGGUUUUUUGCAAGUAAUUGUUGAAAUUGGGUGACAAUUCGUCUUGGUUUUUGUGAAAAUUUGCUCGACUCUUUCUCUCCAAGCAUCUGGCCUUCGACCUCAGCCUUCGAACUCAGCCGCCUUCGAAAUUGAGGAGUUGUAAACUUGUAAUAGGGCUAUGAGGAUCCAGGUCUGUUUCGCCAGCCUUGGACUGCUGUUUUCCGAACACAUCUUAUUACUGGUGUAACCGAACGCCUCACUCCCAAAGGUCUACACUCCGAGGAAUGCGCCUAUACUAGUGAGGAAAUUGAUGUGGUUCGUGAGCAACGGGCUAAGUUUUUUACCCGCAAGUAUU